UUGCAAAUGAUGAUCUUACUUGGAUUCCCCUUCAGAUCAUUAUGGGUGAUGCAAACUCCAAGUUUCUGAUGCU
rfam:Brassica napus, WGS project CCCW01000000 data, contig: 21581